GCGGGUGUAGUUCAGUGGUAGAACAUCAGCUUCCCAAGCUGAUAAUGUGGGUUCGACAAAAUCGCCGGGA
rnacentral:tRNA from 1 species